rnacentral:rRNA from 1 species
CUACGGGCGGCUGCAGCUGGGAAUAUUGCGCAAUGGGCGAAAGCCUGACGCAGCGACACCGCGUGUGGGAAGACGCUCUUCGGAGUGUAAACCACUGUGGCAGGGGAACAAUUUUUGAGGGUACCCUGCUAGAAAGCACCUGCUAACUACGUGCCAGAAGCCUCGGUAAUACGUAGGGUGCAAGCAUUAUCCGGAUUUAUUGGGCGUAAAGCGUCCGUCGGCGUUUUAUUAAGUUUUGACUUUAAUACUGGAGCUCAACUCCAGAUACAGGUUGAAAUACUGAUAGAAUUGAGUUUACUAGGGGGAGCUGGAAUUCUCGGUGGAGGGGUGAAAUCCGUAGAUAUCGAGAGGAACACCAUUCGCGAAGGCGAGCUCCUGGAGUACAACUGACGCUCAGGGACGAAAGUUUGGGUAGCAAAAGGGAUUAGAUACCCUCGUAGUC